UACGAAGGGUGCAAGCGUUACUCGGAAUUACUGGGCGUAAAGCGUGCGUAGGUGGUGAGUUAAGUCUGUCGUGAAAGCCCCGGGCUCAACCUGGGAAUGGCGAUGGAUACUGGCUCGCUAGAGUGCGGUAGAGGAGAGUGGAAUUCCCGGUGUAGCAGUGAAAUGCGUAGAGAUUGGGAGGAACAUCAGUUGCGAAGGCGGCUCUCUGGACCAGCACUGACACUGAGGCACGAAAGCGUGGGGAGCAAACAGG
rnacentral:rRNA from 1 species